rnacentral:lncRNA from 1 species
UCCCUGGGUGUCUUGUAACCUGAAGCAGAAGGGAAGAUGGCACAUCAUCUGGCCCACGGCAGGGAUGUUUUCCACAUUUACCAGGAGAUGGUCCUGGCCCAUCCACAGUUUACCAUCUAAGGGAGUGGGGGGGCAAGAGUGGCUUUGCAUGCAGGCAGGGCCAAAGGACACAGAGAGGCAGCGGGGCCCCAGGAUCCACAGAGCUGCUAAAUAGCCCCAGCCCCACCCCAGGUGAGCUGGCACAGGCCUCCUGAAUUCCUCACCUGCCACCUCCGCAGUGCCAAGACUGCAGCAUCCCCAGAGAAGAUCACAGGGUCUCCGGUGCAAUCCAUUCUUAACAGACAGGAAACUUUCUGGAAGGAGCCAGCCCUGGAAUGAACAGCUCUGGGGUGGGAUUCCCCAGGAAGGGUGAUUAUCACGGAAUCCGUAAUAAGGAUGGAAACGCUCCGUGAGAACAAAGGGGGACGCCUCCCCGGUGCAGUCACUUUAAGGUAUGUCGCCUUCUUCAACGCCAGGGCCACUGUCAGAAAGGCAACUUCAUCUAACUAAUUAGCAGGGUUUGCCACGUUACAAAUCUGCCGUGGCUUUCUUGGCACCGAACAGCUGCUGAGGCAAAGAGCUGUAGGAACCUAUUAAAACUCACGGGCCUGGAAAGGCAAGAAAGAGAAGGGGGGAGAUUUGAAAGUGAGACAGCGGGAGGAAAGAAACUUCCCGAACAGGUCAGUGCUGGCUCCCAGGCUCUGCCCGCUUCCAGGCAGGAAGUGGGUGAAAGGAGGUGCCAGGGACCCUCCCGUUGCUGGAGCCGGGCUCUGACGUGCCUGCUUGGCUUUUCCUCUUGAAGGAGCUCAGUUUUUUUUGCUUUUUUUUUUUUAAAGCAGCUUUGAAGAAAUGCUCUCCCGUGGACUGCAACCUGUCACCGCACCCUGUCAUCCGUCCAGUAAUUAAAAUCUGACUGAUUUACUGACUGGCACCGACCAUCACAGCCCGGGAGUCAGCUGAUGUUCAUCUUUCCCAAGGCUGAAUUGACUUGGUGAAAAGGGGCGGCUGGCUCCCAAGCGGAGCUGUCACUCAGCUGCGGUGGAAACCAGAAAGACAGCUAACAGAGCCCUCGCCAGCCAUCUUUGGCUGAUUUUUAUUCUAAUAUUUAUUGCCACCCAGCACACGGACAUAACACAGACAAGGUACGACGAGCCGAGCAAGCCGAGCCCUGGGGCCGGUGUGGCAGCCAGGGAAGCAGUGGGCACAUGGCAGGGGAACAGGUGUGUCCCCAAAGGGCCAGCUGGCUCAUGGGACAUGGUGGGAAUGCCAUUUGCACUUCGCGUGCAAGCAGUUGUGGGCUGGGAGUUGGGGAGGGGGGGAUCUGAAGCUUUAAAAAGCCUGCAUGGUUAUGUCUGCUUAUGGGAAAGCAGCAACGAAUCAGGAUGCCUUUCACGGGUACUGAUGUUGAUGGCACGGUGGCCCCAGAGUCAGGCGUGGAUUCUGGGUUCCCGGGACCGCCCUGAAGCCUGUGGGUCGACCCAGGUUUUCCACCCCACCCCUGAUGGGGAGCCAGCCAUACCUGAGCUGUCCUCUCAUUGUCUUGGCUUUGCGACCCCAGUUCUGGGACAUGGCCCAUCCUGACCCUUCUCAGAUAAGCGGCUUUGGAAGCAGCCUCCAGCCCCCUCAACUGCCUCUGCUCCCUCCAGGAUCCAGUGACCCCAUUCCUUCCCUAGCUCCUGGCCCACAUUUGUGUGGUCGUUUUGGGAAGUCUGGGCAGACUACGCCCAGUGGAGCGUACAUGCAGCUCAGAGCACACCUGACCUUCAUGGGGCCCACAGGCCAAUGGGGAGAUCAAGAGAGUCACCCGGUAAGGGACAAUGAGGGUCCCACCUCCACCUGGGGAAAGUGCCAGUGGGCAAGAGGCCACUCACAUAGGGAGCCCAGGGUCCUCAGGUUUGGGGAGCACUCAGGUCAGGGCUAGACUAGAAAAGGCAAGCCAGGUGCCCAGGUGCGAACACUAAGGUGUUCUCAGGGUUGUGCAAGCUCACAGUUCAACCUUCUUUAUUUUUUUGCUUUUUAGGGCCAUGCCUGAGGCAUAUGGAAGUUCCCAUGCAAGGGGUCGAAUCGGAGCUGUAGCUGCCGACUUACGCCACAGCCACAGCAACACGGGAUCCGAGCCACGUCUGCGACCUACACCACGGCUCGGGGCAAGGCCAGAUCCUUAACCCACUGAGUGAGACCAGGGAUUGAACCGGCAACCUCAUGGUUCCUAGGCAGAUUCGUUUCCUCUGCAACACAACAGGAACUCCUUUUUUUUUUUUUUGGCAAGCCUAGAGCAUUGGAAAUUCCUGGGCCCCAGGAUUGAACCUAAGCCACAGUAAUGACCUAAGCCAUAGCAGCAACAAGGCCAGAUCCUUAACUGCUAAGGCCACCAGGGAUCUCCAAAGUCCUCUUCAAUAUUGCUCCCAGUGGGCUUCCCUAGCUUCACCCUGAGCUAGCUCUGCCUGAAGGCACCCCUCUCAUUUUUGCCCAGUAAAAAGGGUUGGAGCCACCACUCCUCAGGCUGCUUCAUCUCCCAACUGUCAGAGAUAUCAGCCCUGUGAUAGCCUAAACCACAGAAAACUGAGACAUGUAAGAAUCACGUAUGCACUUAAUCAGCUACUGCACAUGAGGGGGCAUUCGCUGGGCAUGCUAUUUGCAGUAUAAAACCCAAUGAUAUACCAUUAUACAUGUAUAUAUACGUUUUUAAACAAAAAAAUAACAUUACCCACUCACACAGUUUUUAAAGUAAACACAAUGCUGUCUUGUCCGGAAAAUAAAGAGUGAAGGGAGGGACACAGGAGACCCUAUAACAGAGGAAAGACCCUACAGAAAAGAGGAAAGGAAUUUUCUGGUGUCUUGGCUCCCCUAACACUGUCUCCUGGGGGUGCCGGUCUGCCUUCUGUUUCUGGGAUGAACCGUCCUUGGGGGGCCAGUUGGGUAGGGGGCAACUGGAGGAACGGGAGAUCCACCAGACCAGCCCUGGUCCCACAGACCAAAUUCACUGGAGCCCAGCCAGGGCCAUGUCAUCAAAGGCCACAGAGCAAGUCCACGGAGAGCCGAGACUGACAAGAUCCAGGGCUCCAGACCCUCCCAGGCUCCCCCCACCUCCUCCUCCACGGACCAGGGUUUGGUUUCAUUUUGUUUGUCUCCUUAAGUCAGAGCCGUCCUUCCAGAUCCCAGGGGAACGCAGAGCCCCAGAGCUCGUAAAAUGAGAUACUCACACGAGGACACCUAACACCUUUAGACCAGAGGACUUCUUCUGCCGUCAAAUAUCCGGUUCUUCGUAGCACGACCCACCUCCUCAAAACGCUGGCGGGAAUCGAGUCGGCCCCACCCCGCUCUGAGCUGCCGCCAGCCACCUGCAGACCCGUGUCUGUGGCUCCCCAGAAAGCAGGCAUCUGCUAGACGAAAGCUACAUACAGCUCUUGGGAGGAGAGGAAGGCAGAUCCACGGGUCCAGUUGUUACAGAAAGUCCAAGAUGCUCUCCUGGUUGGGUACCGAGCAUCCCAAAGGAUGAGGCUCCCUGGGCAACAAAGCGCCUGUCUCCUUCACCCCGUUAGAAACCCUAAGGGGAGGUGGAAAACCCGGACCCCAGGCCCGCCUGCCUCUCCCCUCCACAGAAGUUGGGUGCAGGGGUGGGAAGAGUGGAAGUUCAUGUUUUUAUUUUGAGUAAAUCAAUCGGCUAAGCAGGGUGGGAUUUUCCAUCUGGGAGUUGAAAGGGCAAAAGGAGAACAGUUAAUUUUUCAAACCAUCACUUUAAAAUACAGCCCCCCUGUUCGUGAGCCGCGUUUGAUGCAGGGUCCGGGCGGGACAUCAAGAAGCAGUGUCAAGGCCAGAACAGGCAUAUUUUAGAGUAACAGCAAGUAAAUUAAGCCAAUUAAGCAUUCUUAAUGCCCAGGACUUUUUUUUUUUUUUCUUCCCUUCUUGCAAGAGAUCCUGCUUGCAAGACAGAAUUUCUUUCCUUUUUUCUUUUUUGCAUUCAUACCCUUGAUUUUCAUCUGUGUGUCUCUGUUACAAGGGGCUGCAUGGACUGGUCCUGGUGAAGGUGGGCACCAGGCUGCUUCAGAGAAGGAGGCCUGCCCUCUCCUAAGGGGGUCUGGUUCUAAAACAGGGUGGUGGGCAUCUGGGUGUGGGCUUGGUUUUUUGCUUGUGUGUGUGUGUGUGUGUGUGUGUGUGUGUGUCUUUUUAGGGCUGCACUGGUGGCCUCUGGAAGUUCCCAGGCUAGGGGUCGAAUCAGAGCUAUAGCUACCGGCCUACACCACAGCUCACAGCAACACUGGAUCCUUAACCCACUGAGUGAGGCCAGGGAUCGAACUCAUGUCUUCAUAGAUACUAGUCAGGUUCGUUAACUGCUGAGCCACAAUGGGAACUCCAGGGAGGCUAUUUAAAGGCACAAAUGGCACCAAAAACGGACGAUUGCAGGUCAUCAGAGGAGAUUAGUAAAGUGAAGUGAGAUAAAGAAGUGAGAUUAUAUCUGGAAAUUCUCUGGAUGAAAGGUACUAGAUAAAUGCCAGCUACCUCUGUGACUGUUCUUAUGCUAAAUUGUGGGUGGUCUCGGAGCACGUGGCCCACUCACUCAGCUCCUGCUGAUCACAAGGUUGGGAUUUGCAAACUGAUGCAGCCUUGGAGCAUAGCCCAGAGGAGGAGAGGGGGCAAGGAGGUCACUGCCAAGCAGGAAGAAUAGCCACACCAAAACCAGGUUGCUCAAGAUUUUCUCACAGUUGAAGUUCCUUUUGUGGCUCAGCGGGUUAGAACCCAAUACAGUGUCCGUGAGGAUGCAGGUUCAAUCCCUGGCCUUGCUCAGUGGGUUAAGGAUCUGGCUUUGCCACAAGCCGUGGCAUAGGUGGCAGAUGCAGCUCAGAUCCCAUGACAUUGCUGUGGCUGAGGUGUAGGCCAGCAGCUGCAGCUCCCCUUCGACCCCUAGCCCGGGAACUUCCAUAUGCCCAAGAUGCGGCCAUAAAAAGAGAGAAAACAAAUUUUUUUUUUUUUUUUUUUUUUUUCUGAUGGUUGCCCAUUUCGUCUCAACUCUACACUCACCCAGCCCCUCCCAUUUUCCUGGGGGAAAAACAAGCCUGAUGAUAACAAACAAUUGGAGCGUCACAAAAUAAGCAAGUGGCCCAUCUCAGACGUAAAUUGUGUACUGUUUACUCUAUAAGCAAUGACUAUGAGCAUAUACGCACUUGGUUUUAUUUGAUCAAAGAAUGCCUCAUAAACCGAACACUAGCCCAGCGAUUUUAUUACAUUUACCUUGAUAAUAUGUUGCAAGCCAUUUAAACAGAACACCUGCGCGGGCAGACCAUCGCCCACGCAGUAUGAUUGUACCAGCGCCACAGUUUGGGGAUCAGAGAUAAAUCGGUUUCAGUAUUAGGGGCAAGGACGAUUCACACUCAAACCACAGGCAAAGCUGUCUUCGACUGGAACCAAGUUACAUUUAGAGGUCAGGGUUGCUGUUCGGGGAAAGCCGCGCCCCCUAUGCCAUAGGGUAGAGUGAUGACCUGCAGCAAACCAAUAAUGAAACAGCGUUUAAUGUAAUUUAUAAGUUACAGAAGUGAGAUUGGCAGCCUUUGAUUGUUAUGAUCUACUCAAGAGAGCUGUCAUGGAGUGUCCUUCUGGAAAGUCGCAGACACAUCAAUGCUCUGUUGAGGGGGAGCAGGUGUACCAGGAGCUCUGCCGCGCUCCAGCCAGCCUGGUUGGAGAGUCCUCUACAAAUGCUAGUAUGUUCUUAAUUUCCAUUUAUGAAUUCUUAAUUGCAUUAACCCUCAAUAAACUUCCUAAUGGAUAACUAGGAAGUAGCCCUUGGUAAUAUGCAAAUCUGAAAGGCAAUGUAAUUCACCUUUAAGAGCCAACGACAGGACUUGCCCUCUAUGGAGUGUGGUGGCCUUAGGGAAAACGUGGAAAUUACCAGAAGGGAUGUAUCAAUUAAGUGCGAAGGAAGUUCAGAGGAAAGAGGUGACUUUUGCUGGGUGGAAGGUGGAGGGGAGGGGGCCACAGGGAUCGUAUCUGGGGACUGGGGCUUUCCAGGAGAAGAAGCCUCCACGAGCAAAAUAACAAACCAAGCAAGAAUGAGGGACCCUUGGAGUUCCUGCUGUGGCACAGUGGGUUCAGCAGUGUCUCUGCUGCGUUGGGACACAGGUUGGAUCUCCAGGCCCAGCACAGCAGGUUAAGGAUCUGGCAUUGCCUCAGCAGCAGCAUAUGUCGAAACUGCAGACUGAAUCUGAUUCCUGGCCUGGGAACUCCAUAU